ensembl:snRNA U2 U2 spliceosomal RNA
AUCGCUUCUUGGCCUUUUGGCUAAGAUCAUAUGUAGUAUCUGUUCUUAUCAGUUUAAUAUCUGAUACAUCCUCUAUCCAAGGACAAUAUAUUAAAUGGAUUUUUGGAGCAGAAAGAUGGAAUAGGAGCUUGCUCUGUCCACUCCACGCAACAACCUGGUAUUGCAGUACUUCAGGAAUGGUGCAUCCCCA